AGAGCAGGACAAAUGGCCGCUGCCUUGCUCUUUCGCAAGGGAGAGGAAAGUCCGGGCUCCGCAGGACGGGGUGCUGGGUAACGCCCAGUCCCGGUGACGGGCAGGAAAGUGCCACAGAAAGGAAACCGCCCCACGUCCUAUCGUAGAUAUGGGGUGGGGUAAGGGUGAAAGGGUGAGGUAAGAGCUCACCAGUCCCGUCGGUGACGACGGGAGCUAGGCAAACCCCACCUGGAGCAAGACCAAAUAAGGGAACGCUUGAGGGUGGUCCGCCCGAGUUCCCGGGUAGGUCGCUUGAUCUCCAUGGUAACGUGGAGACUAGAUGAAUGGCCAUUGUCCCUGAGCAGGUGACUGCUUGGGGAAACAGAACCCGGCUUAUGGCCUGCUCUGACA
rnacentral:RNase_P_RNA from 1 species